CCCCAACAUUGAGUUUCCCCGCCCCUGACACCGCCCUGGGUCUGAGACCCUGAGAGGCAGGUCCAGGGACCUGGGACUCUGCAGCGACCCGUCCCCUACUGCACAGCGCGCUCUUUGUCACAGUGUCUUCCUGAGUCGUGACCCAGGAACUGGGCAUUGUGACUGCUCUUGAGAGCAUCUCCCAAGAUAUUCACGUGACCAUAUGGUGGCUUGGAAAGAUGGCGGAAAGAGUGUUUCUAGUUUUCUAUGGAAGUAAGUAGUGGUGAAGAAUAACAGCUAUUGCAGUUUGCACCCAUCACCUCCAUUCUUGCUCAGUUUUACCUCCGUCACAAUGUCGACAUAGCGAAAAAGGAAAUAAUGUCUAAGUAAUGUUAGGAAAAUAGAUUUAACCUCAUGGAUUCUGUGAAAGGGCCUCAGUGAUAUCAGGUGUUCCAGGGAUCACACUUUGAGAACGGCUGCUCUGACUAUCCCUGGGAGAGUCUCCCAGCUGGUCCUUCCCUGGCCUCCUCUUCACUCAGCAGAAUCCCUUUCCCUAAGAUGCACUUGCUGCCUCUGAAAACUCAGCUCUGACUCUAGCCCCUGAGUGCGUCUAGAAGAGAACUCACCUCCUGGAAAUGUGAUGGCAGAGAGGGUCCCCAGUCUGGGAAGGGACGUGGAGGAACAGAGAUUUCCCUUUUGUUUGGAACAGUUUGUGCUGAAGGCACCAGACCCAUGCAUAAGCGACUUUGAUUUUGUGACACACCAGCCUCAUAUGUAUUCGCAUGCCAGAUGGAAUCUGAUGUCAUCUGUAGGAGAAAUCAUGUUGGUCUUUUCCCUUGACAUGUGUCUAGUGCAUCUGACUCAAGGCCCGCAAAGCACACAGAGCAGUACCGUCCAAUACAACAUUCUGUGCAGAGGGAAUUGUUCUGUGUCCCGCCGUCCAGUACAGUGGCCACGAGAUGCAUGUAGCUCUGGAGAUGCAGGGGGCACUUGAAAUGGGGCUGGUGAGCUGGGCAGCUGCAUUUAUAAUUGUUUUAAAUGAAUAGGAAGUUAAGUAGCCCUAGGUGGCUCGGAGCUACUAUUCAGACAGUAUGUAUCUAGAACGCCCUUAGUUUUCAGGAUUCUCCUCAAGGAAGAUACUGUGUGACUCAUAGGUGUAUGUGUAUUAAAUUUAUCUUCACAUGGAAGUCAUGGGUUUGUCUAUGUGGGUGUGAGAAAUAUCCUUAACAUACAGCAUGAAGGUUUAAUUACCAUGCAUUAUAACAGCUGAAGUGUACAGACAUUAACCGAAAUAUGAUGUAUCAGUCUAGGUCCUAAGUGUUGAAAAUGUCCAUCCCUGGAGCUAAUUAUUGUCUCUAUUACUUUGGGUGUCUUGGUGUUGGUUGCGUUCUCCUGGUAAACAUAAGGAGGCUCAUAAGUCUUCACUGAGCGCAGGUCGGAGGAUAUAUUGACUACAGCAUGUUCCUUGGAGGCUCUGGACAUCUUAUGGAUGUCAUAAAGCAGAAGAUGGACAUCUUAGAUUCCACCAACUUAUCAUCUUUUACCUCUUGCUUCUCUCCAUACUUUUGCCCAAAUGUAGACUAUUCUCCGUGUUUCCUUUCACCUUUGAAACCCUCUGCUCUUCAUUUCUACCCAGGGGAAAAUAUACAUAAAAUGUUUAUAAUUGGGGUGCCUGGGUAGCUCAGCCUUUAAGUGUCUGCCUUCGGCUCAGGUCAUGAUCCCAGGGUCCUGGUUUUGCGCCCCACAUCGGGCUCCUUGCUCGCCGAGAAGCCUGCUUCUCCCCAUCCCACUCCCCCUGCUUGUGUUCCCUCUCUCGCUGUCUCUCUCUGUCGAUUAAAUAAAUAAAAUCUUAAAAAAAAAAGAAAACCCAUGAAGAAAGACAUGAAAUUUCCGCAUGUCAACCACAUGCACACAAAGAUACAAACACUUGUCAUGAUCAAACUUAAA